GACAGCAGCAGCCGCGGUAAUACGUAGGUGGCAAGCGUUGUCCGGAAUUAUUGGGCGUAAAGGGCUCGCAGGCGGUUUCUUAAGUCUGAUGUGAAAGCCCCCGGCUCAACCGGGGAGGGUCAUUGGAAACUGGGAAACUUGAGUGCAGAAGAGGAGAGUGGAAUUCCACGUGUAGCGGUGAAAUGCGUAGAGAUGUGGAGGAACACCAGUGGCGAAGGCGACUCUCUGGUCUGUAACUGACGCUGAGGAGCGAAAGCGUGGGGAGCAAACAGGAUUAGAUACCCCUGUAGUCCCUGUCUCUUAUAC
rnacentral:rRNA from 1 species